AAUACAUUUUACUGGAACUUCCCCGUGUGUUCCAGAAUUGUAAUUAAAAAUAAAUAUAUUUUUUAAUUACAAUUCUGGAACACGCUGGGUGGUUCCAGUAAAAUGUAAU